GGGAUUUUAGCUCAGCUGGUUAGAGCGCUUCGUUCACAUCGAAGAGGUCGCUGGUUCGAAUCCAGUAAGUCCCACCA
rnacentral:tRNA from 1 species